UUCCGUAGGUGAACCUGCGGAGGGAUCAUUACCGAGUUUACAACUCCCAAACCCAAUGUGAACGUUACCAAACUGUUGCCUCGGCGGGAUCUCUGCCCCGGGUGCGUCGCAGCCCCGGACCAAGGCGCCCGCCGGAGGACCAACCAAAACUCUUAUUGUAUACCCCCUCGCGGGUUUUUUUAUAAUCUGAGCCUUCUCGGCGCCUCUCGUAGGCGUUUCGAAAAUGAAUCAAAACUUUCAACAACGGAUCUCUUGGUUCUGGCAUCGAUGAAGAACGCAGCGAAAUGCGAUAAGUAAUGUGAAUUGCAGAAUUCAGUGAAUCAUCGAAUCUUUGAACGCACAUUGCGCCCGCCAGUAUUCUGGCGGGCAUGCCUGUCCGAGCGUCAUUUCAACCCUCGAACCCCUCCGGGGGGUCGGCGUUGGGGAUCGGCCCUCCCUUAGCGGGUGGCCGUCUCCGAAAUACAGUGGCGGUCUCGCCGCAGCCUCUCCUGCGCAGUAGUUUGCACACUCGCAUCGGGAGCGCGGCGCGUCCAUUGCCGUUAAACACGCCAACUUUCUGAAAUGUUGACCUCCGGAUCAAGGUAGGAAUACCCGCUGAACUUAAGCAUAUCAAUAAGCGGAGGAA
rnacentral:rRNA from 1 species